AGUCAGGACUAUCAGUGAAUCUAAUUACAGCCUCAAGACUGUUCUCCAUUAUCAGCUAGUGGAGGGAUAUCCUCUGUUGAAGUCAUUACCACCUAUAAUCCCUUGCCUACCAGAUGUACUGUGGAGAGGCUAGGACAUAGGCGUGCUGUUGGUGUUCUACGCAGAUGCAAAAUGGAGGAACUACUUUGACUUCAAAAUUUGAGUCACAGUUUGGUUUAGGGUGCUUUAUUAUUGUUGGGUUGGUUUUUGUUGUUUGGUUGUUGGUUUUUGUUUUUUUUCUUUUAAUCAAGAAUUUAAUGUUUCUUUCUUUUUUUUUUUUUUUUCCCCUCAGGGCGAGAACGUUGCAUUCAUACAAUACUUCACAGAGUGGGACCUUGAUCCUGACCAGGACCUCAGAGUGCUGCCAUUAUACAAAUAAUAAUAAAAUGAGGCAGAACAAAAUAGGAGCCUGUGGGCUAGGUUUUAAUUCUCCUAUCUCUUUUUCAUCAAAACUAAACCAUUUGAAGGAUAAAACCAAGCAUUUUUUGUUUUGUUUUAUCGUUUAUUAUUUUUUGACCAUGCCGUAACACCCAUCAUGAAAUGACUGCAUGACUCAUUUUCAAAAAGAAGUGAUAACAAUGGAUUCAUUUGGUUAUACAAGGCAGUCUGCUAAGCAUACAUUGUUUGGUAGCAUUCUGUUCUCCUAGACAAACAGCAAUUUUUAAAAGGAUUUAAUGCUAUGAGAAAAUGCUUACUUUUUAAUUGUUAUUAUCAUAUUAUUUUAACAAUUUUAGUCUGUUAAGCAAAGCAAAAAAAAAAAAAAAAAAAAAAAAAAAAAAGCUUAAUACCACAAAAACAGAUCGAGCUAAGUUUAUGAAAUUUACAGAUUACCUAAAAUGCUAGGAGUUAAUUACAGUCUGCUUUCCCUGGCAUGUCAGCUUGAUUAAAUUUGGAGUUCUAAGAUGAAUUGGCCCAAAUUCAUUAGCGUUCCCCGGGUGCAUAUGUUGGUCAAGGUCAAGCGAAGCACAUUGACUGUAGUGUUAGUCGGGAGGGGGAAGGGUUUUUAAAGAAGGUGGACUCUUAAAAGGUCUGGGGUUGCAGCAAGAAACUUUGAUACUUUUUAACUUAAUAAAUCUUGACAGC
ensembl:lncRNA